GUUGAGGUGUCUGUUCUCACCACCUCCAGUGAGCCCUCAUUUCAAGCUCCUGAGCCCUCUCCUCCAACAACUACCACCUGAUCUCUCCAGGCCUCCCACAUUAGGCUGCUUAUGAGCAUUGCUUUCAUUCCAGUCUGUGCCCACGCAAAUCCCACUUGGCCCCAUUUCUCACCCCAGGGUCAGCGUCUCCAGAGCAGGGUGAGAUGAUGUGCCUGGAGGAAGGGAAGAUGAAUGAUAACACACCAGGUCCUUCCCUUUUACUCAAUGAUAAGUAAUUUAAAAGAUCAUUUUUAUAUUAAAAAUAAACAUGGAGGCAUUAUUAAGUAGAACACAAAAAUCACAUGAAUUUCCAAGAUAAAAUAUGAGACUUCCAAGAAAUGUCUUGCUUGCAAUUGCUGCUUUGGACUCCACCAGCUCCUGUUUAGAAUAUUUCAGAAGAAAACUAUGAGAAACAAUUGGCAAAUAGGAUAAAGGGCUUAAGACGGAAUUUCAGAACUUCCAGUCUUUCCACUCACCUUCCGGGCUUAGUUAACCCCACUGCUCCACAAGAACCUUACUUGAAACCUCCUCUACAUCCCUUCAGCUUUCCCUCCUCAUCUCCUUUGCUUCCCCUGCAGCCUAGAACGUCCUCCUUCUUCCACCCAUUUAUCUGAAACACGCUCACCUGCCAUGAGAUCCUCUAAGAUUACAGUAUCUCCCCUCUGCUAAGCUCUCGGACUAAGCCAGCACUUGUCACAGCUACUGUGCAUUAUUAUAUUAUCUUUCUGUGGUGCAGUGCUUGUCUCACUCAGCUGCUUGAGAAUAGGGAUUGCAUCUGCUACAUUGUUGUGCCCUCACACAUGGAGCAAGAUAUCUUUCCCAGCGAAAUAAAAACAACAGUAGCAGCAGCAACAACUUGGCUUUAAUGAGCACUCAAACAUGUGAUCUCAAUAGAAUAUCAUAAUAACCCCAAGAGGAAAUUUUUCUAUUCUGUAGACGUGACAACUGACAUCUAAGAGAGGCUAAGCAAUUCUUACAAAGCCACAUAGGUGGGAAGAGACCGUGCCAUUCCCACUCCAGAGUUAGUGCUCGUAACUCCUGUUUUAAAUAGGUGCUCAAUAAAUGUUUACUAGCUGACUUUUUCUUUUUCUUCUUCCUCUUAAAAUGGCAGCAGAGCACCAUUGCAUGACCUUCACAGACUCCACGAAGAACAGAAGAAACACACAACAGAGCCCCACCCUCAUUUCUAACUCACAAAAAUCAUUACAUAUAAUAAAAUAGUUUUGGAUUUAAGCCACUAAGUUUUGGAGUAGCUUGUUAGGCAGCAACACAAAGCUGGGAUACCCUCACCAGGUCUGAAACAGCCUCCUCCUCAUGGCUAGCACUUAACACUUUUUUGUAUUAUUAUCACUGACUGCACAUUAGGCAAAGUUUCUGUCAAAUGCCCUCCUGGCUCCUUGUCAAUGCCUUUUCCCAACACCCAGGGCUCUUCAAGCUCCUCUGCCACACGCAAGUGUCUUCCUGAAGCUCCCCUCCCAGAACUCCCUCCCCCAAGAUGCCCCAAACCUCAGAAUGCCCUUGUGCCUGUCCCCCUUAUCUCCGCUCCUCACUCUCCCAUCAUCCUUCCCCUCACCCCAUUAAGGAGUUCCACGUGUGUUGGCAUUUUAAAGGAUGAAUUUGGAAAUCCCAAAGAAGCUCCAAGGUGAAAAUCAGAAAAAGAUAAAUGAAAACAGCAUCUUUGGGGGAGGCUCUGGAGGAAAGAGCCUGAGCAUUCAGCAGUCUCCCUGGUGUUUCUUCCCCACGGCCUCCUACAGGCACCAGAAGAAGGCCAUCAAUUUUACACCAAAACUUGUCAUAGGCUGCAGAGAACAAGACAGACACGGGAAUUGCGUUCCAAACUGCAAGACUCAGAGAACUCAGCAAGAGCUAGAAGCUGAUUGCUGCGCUCACCUGUGACCUCCCAGCUGGAGACAAUAGACUUGCCUCCUGCUACGCCCACCAAGGUCUGAGCUUGUUCAUCUGGAAGAAAAGAAGGCUGGACUAGAGCAGUGGUUCUCAAACUGGUCCCCAGACCAGCAACAUCAGCAUCACUGGGAACUUGUCAGAAAUGUAGAUUAUCAGGCCCCCCUUAGACCUAGUAAAUCAGAAACUCAGUGGUGAGCCCAGCAAUCUGUCUCUUAACAAGCCCUCCACGAGAUUCUGAUUUAUGCUCAAGUUUGAGAACUGCUGGACUAGAUGGUCUGGAGAAUCUCUCGGAAAAAAGAGCGCUCAUACUUCUUAGCUGGCUCAUAAGGUCCUCACUAAUCUGGUGCCCCUCUAACUGCCCAGUCUCUUAAGUCAACAGGCCUCUGCAUCUGCAUAAAACUACAAAAAUGUCCUUACAGAGACUUGCUCUUUGAAACUCUGUGUCUUUACAUGUGCUGUUCCUUCUUCCUGAAAUAACCUUUUUCUUCCACUACCUGUCUGUCUCCUAUCUGUCCUUCAACACUUGUUUGAGUGGUCACCUCUUCUAGGAAGACCUUCUAAUACCUCCCUUCUCAGGUCAGGUGUCUCCCCUCUGUGCUCUUCUAGCACUUUAUAAACGUCUCUGUUAUAUCGUUUGCCACCUUUAUCUGGUGCCCCACCGGACAGAGCUAGGUGUGGCCAGAAACUAUUUUAUUUCUGAACACUCAGGGCCUGCCACAAUGCCAGCCACAUAGUAUGUCCUCAGUAAACGUCAUGGCAUGAGUGAUUGAGUGGAUGACUUGCAUCCUCGUGUCAACUACCUGAAGGCUCAGAUGAUGACUUUUGAUUCUUGUUCAUCAUCUCGUAAUCAUUGAUAGUUAAUGUUUUUCAUAUUAUAAAUCCCAAUGAUUGUCUGAUCAUCAAUGCUAACUACUGUUAGUAAUGCUUUAUAGCAUAUUGCAUAAUCCAAGUUCUGUCAGAUCUGUUAGUCCACUUGAGCCUGUCAGCAAUCUAGUGAACUAGGUUAGAGCAGGUAUUAUUUUCAUGAUUUUAACAGCUGAGAAAACCACUCACAGAUACUAAAUGGCUUUCCUUGAUUAUCUAUUUCUGCUAACAUUAUUUUGUAUGUCCUCUGUGCAAGGCAUUGUGAUAGAAAAUGAGAAAUACAAAAGCUAGUAAGGACAUAAUCCUUGUCCUCCAGAAACCUAUAUUCUAGGAAAAAUUAAAACUUAUCCUCCAAGGGGCCAGCCCUGUGGCAGAGUGGUUGGGUUCCUGUGCUCUGCUUCAGCGGCCCAGGGUUUGCCAGUUCAGAUCUUGGUCGUGGACCUACACACCACUCAUCAGACCAUGCUGUGCCAGCAUCCCA
ensembl:lncRNA